GAGCUCACUUUGACAGCACAUAUACUAAAAUUGGAACAAUGCAGAGAAGAUUAGCACGGCCCCUGUGCUAGGAUGACACACAGAUUCAGGAAGCAUUCCAUAAUUGU
rnacentral:snRNA from 1 species